UCGUGGCUUAUAGAAGAGAUGAAAUGUGGUCUGAGGGACGAUAUGACUAUGAAAGACUUCCAAGAGAACGAGUACCUCCUCGAAGUCACCCCAGUGAUGGCUACCAUAGAGUAGUUAAUAUUGUGCCAAAGAAACCACCACUGCUAGACAGACCUGGUGAAGGAAGCUACAAUGGAUAUGACAGUCAUGUUGAUAACCGAGAAUAUGACGAGGGCCGCAGUUUUUCUCAUGAUCGAAGAAGUGGUCCGCCUCACAGAGGAGAUGAAUGUGGUUAUAGAUGGGCAAGAGAUGAUCAUUCUGUAAGCCGACAGCCUGAAUACAGGGACAUGAGAGAUGGCUUUAGAAGAAAAGGCUUCUACUCUUCCCAUUAUGUGAGAGACCGGUCUCCUCGUAAAAGGGAUAAUCCGCUUUUCAGAGAAUCUCCCAUUGGCAGAAAAGAUUCUCCACACAGCAGAUCUGGCUCCAGUGUCAGUAGUAGAAGCUACUCUCCAGAAAGAAGCAAACCAUACUCUUUCCAUCAGUCUCAAUAUAGAAAUAAAGAGAGACCUGUACACUCUUUGGAAACAUCGAGAGAUACUUCACCCUCAAGUUCUUCAGCAGUUCCAUCAUCAAAGGUGUUAGACAAACCCAGUAGGUUAACUGAAAAAGAACUUGCUGAGGCUGCAAGUAAGUGAACUGCUGAAAAGCUAGAGAAAUCAGAUGAAAGUAACUUGCCUGAAAUUUCUGAGUAUGAGGCGGAAUCCACGGCACCAUUGUACAUUGACCAGCCAGAAGAACCUGAGUCAAAUGCAACAGAUGGCAUAGAGUUAUUUGAAGACAGUCAGCUAACCAGUCGCUCUAAAGCAAUAGCAUCAAAAACCAAAGAGAUUGAACAGGUUUACCGACAAGACUGUGAAACUUUUGGGAUGGUGGUGAAAAUGCUGAUUGAAAAAGAUCCUUCAUUAGAAAAGCCUAUACAGUUUGCAUUGAGGCAGAAUUUACAUGAAAUAGGUGAGCGGUGUGUUAAAGAAUUCAAGCAUUUUAUUGCAGAGUAUGAUACUUCUACUCAAGAUUUUGGAGAGCCUUUUCAGAUUUUUUUGCUCAGGCAAAAAAAAAAGUUUCUAGAUUCACCCCCCCCCCCCCGCCGGAUUGCGUAA